rnacentral:lncRNA from 1 species
UCCAGGAAAUAAAAAAAAUACACUAAGGGAGUAUAAAAGAAAUCAGGAAACACAGAGCUAUAAGGCCCUGACCUGGACUUUGUCAUUCCUUAUGUGGUGUAUCAGUAGAACUGGAUCACAUCCAACCAAAGAGAGACAUUUUUUGAGACCUAUAGGGACACAUACAUGAGCAUGCUCAAGAGAAAUGUCCUUCAUCUCAAGAAAAAAUGUGAUCUAGAGAUGACAAACAUUGUGAAUGGCAAAGAUGAGACUCAGUCCUCAUAGGAAACCACUCCCAAGACCUUCCAAAAUUUGGCCCGGGAAGAGACCAAGAGAAGAAAAAUAGUUACUUCAUCUCCAGGAGAUUACAGAGCCUGCCUGCAGGAAAACCAGAAGUCCCACCUA